AGUGAACGCUGGCGGUAGGCCUAGCACAUGCAAGUCGAACGGCAGCACAGUAAGAGCUUGCUCUUACGGGUGGCGAGUGGCGGACGGGUGCGGAAUACAUCGGAAUCUACUUUUUCGUGGGGGAUAACGUAGGGAAACUUACGCUAAUACCGCAUACGACCUACGGGUGAAAGCAGUGGAUCUUCGGACCUUGCGCGAUUGAAUGAGCCGAUGUCGGAUUAGCUAGUUGGCGGGGUAAAGGCCCACCAAGGCGACGAUCCGUAGCUGGUCUGAGAGGAUGAUCACCCACAGAGGAACUGAAGCACGAACCAGACGACCACGGGAGGCAGAAGUGGGAAAUAUUGGACAAUGGGCGUAAGACUGCUCCAGCCAUCGCGCGUGGGUGAAGAAGGCCUUCGGGUUGUAAAGCCCUUUUGUUGGGAAAGAAAACUGGCAGGUUAAAACCCGCUAUUCUGACGGUACCCAAAGAAUAAGCACCGGCUAACUUCGUG
rnacentral:rRNA from 1 species